UACGGGGGGAGCAAGCGUUGUUCGGAUUUACUGGGCGUAAAGGGCGCGUAGGCGGUCAGCACAAGUCAGUUGUGAAAUCUCCGGGCUUAACUCGGAAAGGUCAACUGAUACUGUGCGACUAGAGUGCAGAAGGGGCAACUGGAAUUCUCGGUGUAGCGGUGAAAUGCGUAGAGAUCGGGAGGAACACCAGAGGCGAAGGCGGCUAACUGGGCAUGUACUGACGCUGAGGCGCGAAGGCUAAGGGAGCAAACAGG
rnacentral:rRNA from 1 species